AAUAAACCAAUUUUUCACUUUUUACCUUUAAUUUUUGACACUUCAUCUUAUUUAAAUUUUUUUGUGAUUGGUAUUUUUGUUUUUAUUAGAUGAUAAAUCAUGAAUAGUACUUUACGUGUGAUUAAUUUUUUUCUAAUUUUCUAAAAAUUUCUAAAUAAGACAGAUGGUCAAACGUUGGACACGGAAACCGAAGAAUUCGUUUUUU
rnacentral:pre_miRNA from 1 species